GGGUUGUGAGGUUAAGCGACUAAGCGUACACGGUGGAUGCCCUGGCAGUCAGAGGCGAUGAAGGACGUGCUAAUCUGCGAUAAGCGUCGGUAAGGUGAUAUGAACCGUUAUAACCGGCGAUUUCCGAAUGGGGAAACCCAGUGUGAUUCGUCACACUAUCAUUAACUGAAUCCAUAGGUUAAUGAGGCGAACCGGGGGAACUGAAACAUCUAAGUACCCCGAGGAAAAGAAAUCAACCGAGAUUCCCCCAGUAGCGGCGAGCGAACGGGGAGCAGCCCAGAGCCUGAAUCAGUGUGUGUGUUAGUGGAAGCGUCUGGAAAGGCGCGCGAUACAGGGUGACAGCCCCGUACACAAAAAUGCACAUACUGUGAGCUCGAUGAGUAGGGCGGGACACGUGGUAUCCUGUCUGAAUAUGGGGGGACCAUCCUCCAAGGCUAAAUACUCCUGACUGACCGAUAGUGAACCAGUACCGUGAGGGAAAGGCGAAAAGAACCCCGGCGAGGGGAGUGAAAAAGAACCUGAAACCGUGUACGUACAAGCAGUGGGAGCACGCUUAGGCGUGUGACUGCGUACCUUUUGUAUAAUGGGUCAGCGACUUAUAUUCUGUAGCAAGGUUAACCGAAUAGGGGAGCCGAAGGGAAACCGAGUCUUAACUGGGCGUUAAGUUGCAGGGUAUAGACCCGAAACCCGGUGAUCUAGCCAUGGGCAGGUUGAAGGUUGGGUAACACUAACUGGAGGACCGAACCGACUAAUGUUGAAAAAUUAGCGGAUGACUUGUGGCUGGGGGUGAAAGGCCAAUCAAACCGGGAGAUAGCUGGUUCUCCCCGAAAGCUAUUUAGGUAGCGCCUCGUGAAUUCAUCUCCGGGGGUAGAGCACUGUUUCGGCAAGGGGGUCAUCCCGACUUACCAACCCGAUGCAAACUGCGAAUACCGGAGAAUGUUAUCACGGGAGACACACGGCGGGUGCUAACGUCCGUCGUGAAGAGGGAAACAACCCAGACCGCCAGCUAAGGUCCCAAAGUCAUGGUUAAGUGGGAAACGAUGUGGGAAGGCCCAGACAGCCAGGAUGUUGGCUUAGAAGCAGCCAUCAUUUAAAGAAAGCGUAAUAGCUCACUGGUCGAGUCGGCCUGCGCGGAAGAUGUAACGGGGCUAAACCAUGCACCGAAGCUGCGGCAGCGACGCUUAUGCGUUGUUGGGUAGGGGAGCGUUCUGUAAGCCUGCGAAGGUGUGCUGUGAGGCAUGCUGGAGGUAUCAGAAGUGCGAAUGCUGACAUAAGUAACGAUAAAGCGGGUGAAAAGCCCGCUCGCCGGAAGACCAAGGGUUCCUGUCCAACGUUAAUCGGGGCAGGGUGAGUCGACCCCUAAGGCGAGGCCGAAAGGCGUAGUCGAUGGGAAACAGGUUAAUAUUCCUGUACUUGGUGUUACUGCGAAGGGGGGACGGAGAAGGCUAUGUUGGCCGGGCGACGGUUGUCCCGGUUUAAGCGUGUAGGCUGGUUUUCCAGGCAAAUCCGGAAAAUCAAGGCUGAGGCGUGAUGACGAGGCACUACGGUGCUGAAGCAACAAAUGCCCUGCUUCCAGGAAAAGCCUCUAAGCAUCAGGUAACAUCAAAUCGUACCCCAAACCGACACAGGUGGUCAGGUAGAGAAUACCAAGGCGCUUGAGAGAACUCGGGUGAAGGAACUAGGCAAAAUGGUGCCGUAACUUCGGGAGAAGGCACGCUGAUAUGUAGGUGAAGUCCCUCGCGGAUGGAGCUGAAAUCAGUCGAAGAUACCAGCUGGCUGCAACUGUUUAUUAAAAACACAGCACUGUGCAAACACGAAAGUGGACGUAUACGGUGUGACGCCUGCCCGGUGCCGGAAGGUUAAUUGAUGGGGUCAGCGCAAGCGAAGCUCUUGAUCGAAGCCCCGGUAAACGGCGGCCGUAACUAUAACGGUCCUAAGGUAGCGAAAUUCCUUGUCGGGUAAGUUCCGACCUGCACGAAUGGCGUAAUGAUGGCCAGGCUGUCUCCACCCGAGACUCAGUGAAAUUGAACUCGCUGUGAAGAUGCAGUGUACCCGCGGCAAGACGGAAAGACCCCGUGAACCUUUACUAUAGCUUGACACUGAACAUUGAGCCUUGAUGUGUAGGAUAGGUGGGAGGCUUUGAAGUGUGGACGCCAGUCUGCAUGGAGCCGACCUUGAAAUACCACCCUUUAAUGUUUGAUGUUCUAACGUUGACCCGUGAUCCGGGUUGCGGACAGUGUCUGGUGGGUAGUUUGACUGGGGCGGUCUCCUCCUAAAGAGUAACGGAGGAGCACGAAGGUUGGCUAAUCCUGGUCGGACAUCAGGAGGUUAGUGCAAUGGCAUAAGCCAGCUUGACUGCGAGCGUGACGGCGCGAGCAGGUGCGAAAGCAGGUCAUAGUGAUCCGGUGGUUCUGAAUGGAAGGGCCAUCGCUCAACGGAUAAAAGGUACUCCGGGGAUAACAGGCUGAUACCGCCCAAGAGUUCAUAUCGACGGCGGUGUUUGGCACCUCGAUGUCGGCUCAUCACAUCCUGGGGCUGAAGUAGGUCCCAAGGGUAUGGCUGUUCGCCAUUUAAAGUGGUACGCGAGCUGGGUUUAGAACGUCGUGAGACAGUUCGGUCCCUAUCUGCCGUGGGCGCUGGAGAACUGAGGGGGGCUGCUCCUAGUACGAGAGGACCGGAGUGGACGCAUCACUGGUGUUCGGGUUGUCAUGCCAAUGGCACUGCCCGGUAGCUAAAUGCGGAAGAGAUAAGUGCUGAAAGCAUCUAAGCACGAAACUUGCCCCGAGAUGAGUUCUCCCUGACUCCUUGAGAGUCCUGAAGGAACGUUGAAGACGACGACGUUGAUAGGCCGGGUGUGUAAGCGCAGCGAUGCGUUGAGCUAACCGGUACUAAUGAACCGUGAGGCUUAACCUUACAACGCCGAAG
rnacentral:rRNA from 1 species